GAUGAACGCUGGCGGCGUGCCUAAUACAUGCAAGUCGAGCGAACAGACGAGGAGCUUGCUCCUCUGACGUUAGCGGUGGACGGGUGAGUAACACGUGGAUAACCUACCUAUAAGACUGGGAUAAGUUCGGGAAACCGGAGCUAAUACCGGAUAACAUGGUGAACCGCAUGGUUCAACAGUGAAAGACGGUCUUGCUGUCACUUAUAGAUGGAUCCGCGCCGCAUUAGCUAGUUGGUAAGGUAACGGCUUACCAAGGCAACGAUGCGUAGCCGACCUGAGAGGAUGAUCGGCCACACUGGAACUGAGACACGGUCCAGACUCCUACGGGAGGCAGCAGUAGGGAAUCUUCCGCAAUGGGCGAAAGCCUGACGGAGCAACGCCGCGUGAGUGAAGAAGGUCUUCGGAUCGUAAAACUCUGUUAUUAGGGAAGAACAAAUGUGUAAGUAACUAUGCACGUCUUGACGGUACCUAAUCAGAAAGCCACGGCUAACUACGUG
rnacentral:rRNA from 1 species